UACGUGUUCUGUGUGAAAAUUGUGACGCGUAAAUUUCAAAAAUGAAAUGGAAAAUAAUUCUGCGAGGCAUGCUAGAACGAAUAGCGUAACAGGAAAACGUUGCAACGACAAAUCAUUAUCAAUGAAACGAAGACAUUGCAACGAGAAUAGGUACUACAGCGAUACAUGAAUACGCCAGAACAAACAGGUACUAUAACGAAUGAGGUUGCAGAACCAAUUAUGUUAGAAUAUUUCAUUGUAUUAAUUAUAACAUUACUAAAUAAUAAUACAAGGAAUGCAACGAACGAGAUAUAAAAACUUUCUACGGACAAUGGGAGCGAAUGAGACGCGGAAAGGCGAUCGUUGGAUGGAGAAGAAAGACGGCGCAGCGCGGACAGGAAGGGCCGAAUGGCUGAAAGAAUCACGAGGGAUGAAACGAGUGGGAAGAAAAAGGGCCACAACAUCAUUAGCAUAACGAAACGGAGAUACGUGCUGUGAAUCCGGAUUUCCAGCCCUCUGGUUUCCCUCUGUCUUCGUAUCCUCGGCCGUACUCUGUUAACACUGGUAAUGGGCUAGUGUGUAUUUCACGGCGGUGGUUCCCCUCUAUUUCGCUCGCGGAGAAAAAAAGGGAAAUUCACUAGACGACGGAAAUGUAAGAAAGCCGCCAGAGAUGUUGUGCUUUCAACAGUAACUUGACGAGGAAAGUUUAAGAUUUUAAUGAAACGGUCUCUGUGAAAUGUGGAUGUAAACAUGUGAACGAGGAUACGUAGAUGAAAAUGAUAGAAUAAUAAAAACAUACUGGCUAAAGAUAUGUUCUACUUUACGUUUGAAUAUAUUUACAUAUAGCUAGUUAUCAAUGUGUGAAAAUUGUCUUUCAUCGUGUACACUAGUGA